rnacentral:rRNA from 1 species
GUCGGGAGUAAGAAACACAGGGAUUGCCCCAGUAACGGCGAGUGAAGCGGCAACAGCUCAAAUUUGAAAUCUGGCUCUCAGGGCCCGAGUUGUAAUUUGUAGAGGAUGCUUUUGGCGAGGUGCCUUCCGAGUUCCCUGGAACGGGACGCCACAGAGGGUGAGAGCCCCGUAUGGUCGGACACCGAGCCUCUGUAAAGCUCCUUCGACGAGUCGAGUAGUUUGGGAAUGCUGCUCAAAAUGGGAGGUAUAUGUCUUCUAAAGCUAAAUAUUGGCCAGAGACCGAUAGCGCACAAGUAGAGUGAUCGAAAGAUGAAAAGCACUUUGAAAAGAGGGUUAAAAAGUACGUGAAAUUGUUGAAAGGGAAGCGCCUAUGACCAGACUUGCGCCCGGUGAAUCACCCAGCGUUCUCGCUGGUGCACUUUGCCGGGCACAGGCCAGCAUCAGUUCAGCGCGGGGGAGAAAGGCUUCGGGAAUGUGGCUCCCUCGGGAGUGUUAUAGCCCGCUGCGUAAUGCCCUGCGCCGGACUGAGGUACGCGCAUUGCAAGGAUGCUGGCGUAAUGGUCAUCAGCGACCCGUCUUGAAACACGGACCAAGGAGUCGUCUUCGUAUGCGAGUGUUCGGGUGUCAAACCCCUACGCGUAAUGAAAGUGAACGUAGGUGAGAGCUUCGGCGCAUCACCGACCGAUCCUGAUGUUCUCGGAUGGAUUUGAGUAAGAGCAUACGGGGCCGGACCCGAAAGAAGGUGAACUAUGCCUGUAUAGGGUGAAGCCAGAGGAAACUCUGGUGGAGGCUCGCAGCGGUUCUGACGUGCGAAUCGAUCGUCAAAUAUGGGCAUGGGGGCGAAAGACUAAUCGAACUUCACCG